UCCACACUGUGGAAGCUUUGUUCUUUUGCUCUUUGCAAUAAAUCUUGCUACUGCUCACUCUUUGGGUCCAUGCUGCUUUUAUGAGCUGUAACACUCACCACGAAGGCCUGCAGCUUCACUCCUGAAGCCAGCGAGACCACGAGCCCGCCGGGAGGAACGAACAACUCCAGAUGUGCCGCCUUAAGAGCUGUAACACUCACCGCAAAGGUCUGCAGCUUCACUCCUGAGCCAGCGAGACCACGAACCCACCAGAAGGAAGAAACUCCGAACACAUCCGAACAUCAGAAGGAACAAACUCCAGACGCACCACCUUAAGAGCUGUAACACUCACCGCAAGGGUCCGCAGUUUCAUUCUUGAAGUCAGUGAGACCAAGAACCCACCAAUUCCGGACACAUUUUGGCGACCCAGAUGGGACUUUCGCCUAUCACCAAGCGGUGAGACCAUCACCUAUAGCUGAGCGGUGAGACCAUCACCUAUAGCUGAGCGAAUCAAGGCCAUCAAGCUACAGAUGGGCUUACAAAUGGAACCCAAAAUGAGUUCAACUAACAACUUCUACCAAGGGCCCCUGGACCGACCCACUGGCACUUCCCCUGGCCUAGAGUUCCCCUCUGAAGGACACUACAACUGCAAGGCCCCUUCUUCACCCCAUCCAGCAGGAAGUAGCUAGAGCGGUCAUCGGCCAAAUUCCCAACAGCAGUUGGGGUGUCCUGUUUAGAGGGGGGAUUGAGAGGUGACAGCAUGCUGGCAGUCCUCAGCCCUCACUCACUCUUGGCACCUCCUCUGCCCGGGCUCCCACUUUGGUGGCACUUGAGGAGCGCUUCAGCCCACCGCUGCACUGUGGGAGCCCCUUUCUGGGCUGGCCAAGGCCAGAGCCGGCUCCCUCAGCUUCCAGGGAGGUGUGGAGGGAGAGGCUCAAGCGGGAACUGGGGCUGCGUGCGGCGCUUGCGGGCCAGCUGGAGUUCCGGGCGGGCGUGGGCUUGGCGGGCCCUGCACUCAGAGCAGCCAGCCGGCCCUGCCGGCCCCGGGCAGUGAGGGGCUUAGUACCUGGGCCAGCAGCUGUGAAGGGUGUACUGGGUCCCCCAGCAGUGCCAGCCCACCGGCGCUGCACUCGAUUUCUCACCGGGCCUUAGCCGCCUUCCCAUGGGGCAGGGCUUGGGACCUGCAGCCCGCCAUGCCUGAGCCUCCCACACCCCCUCCAUGGGCUCCUGUGCGGCCCGAGCCUCCUCGACGAGCGCCACCCCCUGCUCCACGGCACCCAGUCCCAUCGACCACCCAAGGGCUGAGGAGUGCGGGCGCACGCAGGGGACUGGCAGGCAGCUCCACCUGCAGCCCCGGUGCGGGAUUCACCGGGUGAAGCCAGCUGGGCUCCUGAAUCUGGUGGGGCUUUGGAGAACCUUUACAAUCCCUGAGCUAGACAUAAAUACACCAAUCGGCACUCUGUAUCUAGCUCAAGGUUUGUAAACACACCAGUCAGCACCCUGUGUCUAGCUCAGGGUUUGUGAGUGCACCAAUUGACACUCUGUAUCUAGCUGCUCUGGUGGGGCCGUGAAGAACCUUUAUGUCUAGCUCAGGGAUUGUAAAUACACCAAUCGGCACUCUGUAUCUAGCUCAAGGUUUGUAAACACACCAAUCAGCACCCUGUGUCUAGCUCAGGGUUUGUGAGUGCACCAAUGGACACUCUGUAUCUAUCUGCUCUGGUGGGGCCUUGGAGAACCUUUGUGUGGAUACUCUGUAUCUAAUCUGAUGGGGACGUGGAGAACCUUUGUAUCCAGCUCAGGGAUUGUAAACGCACCAAUCAGCGCCCUGUCAAAACAGACCACUGGGCUCUACCAAUCAGCAGGACGUGGGUGGGGCCAGAUAAGAGAAUGAAACCAGGCUGCCCCAGCCAGCAGUGGCAACCCGCUUGGGUCCCCUUCCACACUGUGGAAGCUUUGUUCUUUUGCUCUUUGCAAUAAAUCUUGCUACUGCUCA
rnacentral:lncRNA from 10 species